rnacentral:rRNA from 1 species
CAGUAGCCACGGGAAUACGUAGGGUGCGAGCGUUAAUCGGAAUUACUGGGCGUAAAGCGUGCGCAGGCGGUUGUGUAAGACAGGUGUGAAAUCCCCGGGCUCAACCUGGGAACUGCAUUUGUGACUGCAAGGCUAGAGUGCGGCAGAGGGAGAUGGAAUUCCGCGUGUAGCAGUGAAAUGCGUAGAUAUGCGGAGGAACACCGAUGGCGAAGGCAAUCUCCUGGACCUGCACUGACGCUCAUGCACGAAAGCGUGGGGAGCAAACAGGAUUAGAUACCCGCGUAGUCCCUGUCUCUUAUAC